rnacentral:rRNA from 1 species
ACGGGUGAGUAAUGUCUGGGGAUCUGCCCGAUAGAGGGGGAUAACCACUGGAAACGGUGGCUAAUACCGCAUAACGUCGCAAGACCAAAGAGGGGGACCUUCGGGCCUCUCACUAUCGGAUGAACCCAGAUGGGAUUAGCUAGUAGGCGGGGUAAUGGCCCACCUAGGCGACGAUCCCUAGCUGGUCUGAGAGGAUGACCAGCCACACUGGAACUGAGACACGGUCCAGACUCCUACGGGAGGCAGCAGUGGGGAAUAUUGCACAAUGGGCGCAAGCCUGAUGCAGCCAUGCCGCGUGUAUGAAGAAGGCCUUCGGGUUGUAAAGUACUUUCAGCGGGGAGGAAGGCGAUAAGGUUAAUAACCUUGUCGAUUGACGUUACCCGCAGAAGAAGCACCGGCUAACUCCGUGCCAGCAGCCGCGGUAAUACGGAGGGUGCAAGCGUUAAUCGGAAUUACUGGGCGUAAAGCGCACGCAGGCGGUCUGUUAAGUCAGAUGUGAAAUCCCCGGGCUUAACCUGGGAACUGCAUUUGAAACUGGCAGGCUUGAGUCUCGUAGAGGGGGGUAGAAUUCCAGGUGUA